rnacentral:rRNA from 1 species
GACGAACGCUGGCGGCGUGCUUAACACAUGCAAGUCGAACGGAAAGGCCCUGCUUGCCGGGUACUCGAGUGGCGAACGGGUGAGUAACACGUGGGUGAUCUGCCCUGCACUUCGGGAUAAGCCUGGGAAACUGGGUCUAAUACCGGAUAGGAGCCAUUUUUAGUGUGAUGGUUGGAAGGUUUUUUCGGUGUAGGAUGAGCUCGCGGCCUAUCAGCUUGUUGGUGGGGUAAUGGCCUACCAAGGCGGCGACGGGUAGCCGGCCUGAGAGGGUGGACGGCCACAUUGGGACUGAGAUACGGCCCAGACUCCUACGGGAGGCAGCAGUGGGGAAUAUUGCACAAUGGGCGCAAGCCUGAUGCAGCGACGCCGCGUGGGGGAUGACGGCCUUCGGGUUGUAAACUCCUUUCGCUAGGGACGAAGCUUUUUGUGACGGUACCUAGAUAAGAAGCACCGGCUAACUACGUG